GCUCCACCGGAAAAAGAGGAGUGGCGAACGGGUGAGUAACACGUGGGUAACCUGCCCAUCAGAAGGGGAUAACACUUGGAAACAGGUGCUAAUACCGUAUAACAAUCNAAACCGCAUGGUUUUGAUUUGAAAGGCGCUUUCGGGUGUCGCUGAUGGAUGGACCCGCGGUGCAUUAGCUAGUUGGUGAGGUAACGGCUCACCAAGGCCACGAUGCAUAGCCGACCUGAGAGGGUGAUCGGCCACAUUGGGACUGAGACACGGCCCAAACUCCUACGGGAGGCAGCAGUAGGGAAUCUUCGGCAAUGGACGAAAGUCUGACCGAGCAACGCCGCGUGAGUGAAGAAGGUUUUCGGAUCGUAAAACUCUGUUGUUAGAGAAGAACAAGGAUGAGAGUAACUGUUCAUCCCUUGACGGUAUCUAACCAGAAAGCCACGGCUAACUACGUGCCAGCAGCCGCGGUAAUACGUAGGUGGCAAGCGUUGUCCGGAUUUAUUGGGCGUAAAGCGAGCGCAGGCGGUUUCUUAAGUCUGAUGUGAAAGCCCCCGGCUCAACCGGGGAGGGUCAUUGGAAACUGGGAGACUUGAGUGCAGAAGAGGAGAGUGGAAUUCCAUGUGUAGCGGUGAAAUGCGUAGAUAUAUGGAGGAACACCAGUGGCGAAGGCGGCUCUCUGGUCUGUAACUGACGCUGAGGCUCGAAAGCGUGGGGAGCAAACAGGAUUAGAUACCCUGGUAGUCCACGCCGUAAACGAUGAGUGCUAAGUGUUGGAGGGUUUCGCCCUUCAGUGCUGCAGCUAACGCAUUAGCACUCCGCCUGGGGAGUACGACCGCAAGGUUGAAACUCAAAGGAAUUGACGGGGGCCGCACAAGCGGUGGAGCAUGUGGUUUAAUUCGAAGCAACGCGAAGAACCUUACCAGGUCUUGACAUCC
rnacentral:rRNA from 1 species